rnacentral:lncRNA from 1 species
CUCUGUGUGGGCUGCGAGCUCAGGUGGCACUUGGCAGAAGCACAGGCUGUGAGCACAGCGUGGAGAGAUGCUGCUAUGGACAUGUAUCUAUUGCAAGGAGAAGUACAUGGGCUGGCUUUUGUUGUGCAGAGGAGAGAUGGAAGGGAUAUGCAUGCAAACAGACCUGGUAUAAUUCCCCUUUUCCUUCCUGUUCACCAGGUGCUCCCAGAGUUGUAUCCAAAUGGCAGCAAAGAUGGACCUCUUCCAUGUCCUCAUUUUCCAAACACAAAACUCAAGUGAAGCAGAUUAUGUGGUUUUUUUCUCCCUUUCAGUGCAAGAUCCUCUCUUCUUCUCUGCUCCCAUCAGUAACCAGAAAAUAUCCUCAGAACUCUGAUGGAAAGACAAGACACGUGAGAUAGUAUAUCAUUCUGAAUGGAGUUUCUGGAGCAACUAAAGUUUUGAGCUCAUCUGCUGCUCUCUCUCUAGCUUGAUUCAGAAUCUAAUUUGUCCAAAAUUUCAACCGUGAUGAACUUUCCCAAAACAGAAGCAGCAAGCUGCUUCCCACCAUCACAUACUUGGCCUGUAUCCCGCCUAUCCAUAUGCAGCAGAUGUAAAUAUAAUUUACUGGCACAAGCAGCUUUCUGCAAAUGGCAUCUUUCUAAGUCUUCUUUAGUAUCCAUG